AUGAACCUUCAGGAAAGACAGAUCCUAAAGUUGGCUUCACUUGGUAGUAACUAUGGAAACCUCAAGAAUGUUGUUGACGCCCUGAAGGCUUUUGAGUUGUAUUGUCAGGUUUUAUCAGGCAUGAAGGUGGCGUGGGCCAGCAAGGAGUCUGGGGGUUCAGCAGGACAUCCUUGCAGGAGUAGUCGAGCAGAGGCUGACACUAGCCAAUAUGACCAGCAUUGCCGCAGAUCGCCUCCAUGUGGGCUGCUGUUGCAAAGUCACGGUGCUGCACCUCAGCGAAUUCAGCAGGAGCAAUUCAUUCCCCACCCAAGUGUUUAUUAUUGA
rnacentral:rRNA from 1 species